UUCUUACUAAAAUUAUACUAAGUAACACCUGCUCAAUGAAUUCUUAAAUAGCCGCGGAAAUUUAACCGUGCUAAGGUAGCAUAAUCAUUAGCCUCUUAAUUAGAGGCUCGUAUGAACGGUGAAAUAAUUCAUUUACUUUAUUUGUUAAUUUUAUUUAAUUUAAAUUAAGAAUAAAAAUGUUCUUAUUUUUAAAAAAGACGAUAAGACCCUUUUGAACUUUACUGAAGUUUGGCUGGGGCAGCCAAAAAAUAAAUAUCUUUUAAUAUUUUUUUUUCAAUAAAAGACCCAAUAAAAUUGAUUAAUUGAACAAGUUACCAUAGGGAUAACAGCGUAAUAUUUUUUUAAAGCUCUUAUAAAAAAAAAUGAUUACGACCUCGAUGUUGAAUUAGUAUAACUUUAGAGAUGCAGWAAUCCUAAAAGUAGGUCUGUUCGACCUUUUAAAUACUACAU
rnacentral:rRNA from 1 species